rnacentral:ncRNA from 1 species
GAUACUGCGACAGUAAUCCAACUUAGUACGAGAGGAACAGUUGGUUCAGAUACUUGGUUAAUGCGNCCGCGACGCUACCAUCUGUUGGAUUAUGACUGAACGCCUCUAAGUCAGAAUCCAUGCUGGCUAAGCAGUGCU